GAUUGCGCUGGGGACCGCAGUUCCUUGAUAAUGAGUAAUUGUUUGCUCAAGCUUUAGCCAAGUGUAAAUAUAAAUAUAACCGGGAUGGUUUACCCGUCCAUUGCCAUCCAUGCACUACUGUACCGAGUGCUGUGGCUGACGUGAGAACUGAAUGCAUGGAGCUGCAAUGGUGGACUCCAGGCCUGCUUCGUCAUCGUCAGAUAUGUCAUUUAACAGCUGAGCCUCGCUUUCCUCACAUGAAAAAUGAUUGCGAUGAUUGAUAUUUACCUCAGAGAAUUUAAAUGGGACUGCCACCGUACCUAUGGGAAAGUCACUGCUGAACUGGUGACAUUUCUGUAUAUAUGUAUGUUAUUUAGUGUUUAUAUAUUUAUACGUGGAUUCCUGAAAUAGCAGUUCCGCAGAGUUGAGCAUUAGAAAACAGCUGGUCUUUUGCAAGGCCCAGUUUGAGGCAGACCAUACAAGCUGCUAGAAUACCCUGGCCACAGUGUUAAGACAAAACUGAAAGAAACACAAACUGAAAGAGAUUUGAAUGAGGAAAUACACCCACACUUACAUGCUAACAGCUAAUAGGGGACUUUACUUUGAAGCUAGCCAAGGUUGCUUGACAGAAGGCUGAGAAAAGAUGAGGCUGCUGAGUGAAGCCAGAGAGAUUAUGCUCAAAGUCAAGUAGAUACCAUACAAUAAGCUUUUCCAAGGUCUAUCAUCUUGGGAGGAAAAACAAACCAAACCAAAACCCUUAUAUUGCUGUCUUCCCACUGGUCAGCAGACUUUCAGUAACUCUGCCUUGCUGUAAGGUGCAUCACAGUGUUGUGCAUUAGAGCAGUGUGGGCCACACAGGCAACUGGCAUGUUUCAAACUUCCACAGAUUUCUUGGCUUCAUUAUCAGGAGAAGUAUGCGAUCCCAUAGGUAAUGUUCAGUAAGAGAUGUAUCUGUCCUGCCCCGUCUCAGACUGAUCACGUUCUGCCCUCUGUCUCCUUGGCUGUAGGGCUCCUCUUCACUGGCUGUGAACUCCUUAAGUAAGGUUCCUGAUGUUCAUGUUUGUUCUCUAAGGUUGAGCACAGGGUCGGUCCCUGGAACAGAGCCGUUGCAUUGCAGUUGAACUUCUAGUAGCCAAGGCAAACCUCUGGACCCUCUGUGGUAGCACCAGGAUCCACCAACAGGCAACACAAGCUGAGGCCCGGAGGCUUCUGUGGGACCAUGUAUGAUUCCACUUCAUCUCCUGCAACCCUGUUGCUCUCCAAUAUGGCAAGAGGAGCAUUGGGUCUUCCUCCUUUGUUAAGACAUUUAUACCAGUUGAGCAAGAAGUCGGUGCUAGAGCGGCAGCAGCCGGUUUGGAGCGCAGUCUCUUCCUCAUGGAACCCUGGCCGGAUCACUGGUCUUCACCACCACUACCUAGUGCUUCCAAUGCGCCCUGGCUGUCUCUCCACACUCUCAAGGUCUUCUUCACUCAUCUUCUUGGCUGUGUGGAUCUGAAAACACACAGCGUUUGUCCGUAAUCUCAUCCUCAUCCACACUGACUGUGGAUAACCGGAUGUGUUUUGUGAGGCCCCUCAGUCUCAACAUGGUUUUACAGACUCGGUCCUAAGCAGAUAAAACAACUAAGCUUCACAGAGGUGAGGUAACUUCCUCUGCCAUC
rnacentral:lncRNA from 1 species